AUUGAACGCUGGCGGCAUGCUUUACACAUGCAAGUCGAACGGUAACAGGGUGCUUGCACCGCUGACGAGUGGCGAACGGGUGAGUAAUGCGUCGGAACGUGCCGAGUAGUGGGGGAUAACGCAGCGAAAGUUGUGCUAAUACCGCAUACGUACUGAGGUAGAAAGUGGGGGACCUUCGGGCCUCACGCUAUUCGAGCGGCCGACGUCUGAUUAGCUAGUAGGUGAGGUAAAGGCUCACCUAGGCGACGAUCAGUAGCGGGUCUGAGAGGAUGGUCCGCCACACUGGGACUGAGACACGGCCCAGACUCCACCGGGAGGCAGCAGUGGGGAAUUUUGGACAAUGGGCGAAAGCCUGAGCCAGCCAUGCCGCGUGUCUGAAGAAGGCCUUCGGGUUGUAAAGGACUUUUGUCGGGGAGGAAAUCCCCAGCGUUAAUACCGCUGGGGGAUGACAGUACCUGAAGAAUAAGCACCGGCUAACUACGUGCCAGCCGCCGCCGUAAUAC
rnacentral:rRNA from 1 species